rnacentral:lncRNA from 1 species
AACAAUUUGGAAUCAUAUCUUUUAUCAAACAUUAAUAAAAGUAGUUCUAACAAAUAAUAAAAAUAGGACUAAUUGAAAGUUAUGAGGUGACUCACAAUUGAGUCUAAAUUUAAAAAUAAUAAUAAUCAACUGUUAUUAAAUAUUCUAGUGUUUCUAAAAAUUAAAGUACUUCAUGAUGGAGAUCCAUUGGUCCAAUAUGCAUUCAUCCACCGCCGUCCAGCAUACUAAUUUCUACCUGAAAAUUGUAAAUAGAGAGGGAUGAGUAUAACGAAUUAUACUCAAUGAUAUGCUUGUUACUCCACAUUCAAAUCAAACGUGAAAUUAUGCAUAAAUUCUCUUACCAACAUAACAUGAGAUUUAUCACACCAUGACAAAUGAUAAUUCAAGCAAGCGCUGCAAAUAACGUGAGGGCUAAAUUGUGCCUUAAACUGUAUCAUGAUUUCUUCCAAAGGAGCUCUGAACUGAAGUAAUUAAAUCCAUACAUAACAACGUAUUUGAAAAGAUGUGGACAAACCACUAAUAGCACUGAGCAUCUCACCUUUUGAAGAUGAACGUGGAAAACAAAAUUGCUGAAAACGUGAUUCUUUAUUGAAAUUCCAAAGCCUUAAAAAGCCUUAAUAAUAUGGAGAAAUAUUUUUAAAGAGGAGGAGAGAAUAAAGACUUGUAGAAGAAGAAUGAGGAAUUAAUGACUAAAUGCUUGAGGUUUAGUGCUAUAUUUAUACUAAACCAUGGUGUAGGGUAAUCACGUGGGAAGUGGAAUUUUGAUAAGUUUUGAAUUCUAAAUUUUCG